CCUACGGGAGGCAGCAGUAAGGAAUAUUGGUCAAUGGAGGCAACUCUGAACCAGCCAUGCCGCGUGCAGGAAGAAGGCCCUAUGGGUCGUAAACUGCUUUUGUACCAGAGAAAACCCGAGUACGUGUACUCGGUUGAUAGUAUGGUAAGAAUAAGCAUCGGCUAACUUCGUGCCAGCAGCCGCGGUAAGACGAAGGAUGCAAGCGUUAUCCGGAUUCAUUGGGUUUAAAGGGUGCGUAGGCGGACUGAUAAGUCAGUGGUGAAAUCUCUCAGCUUAACUGAGAAACUGCCAUUGAUACUGUUAGUCUAGAGUAUAGAUGACGUUGGCGGAAUAUGACAUGUAGUGGUGAAAUACUUAGAUAUGUCAUAGAACACCGAUUGCGAAGGCAGCUAACGAAACUAUAACUGACGCUGAGGCACGAAAGUGCGGGGAUCAAACAGGAUUAGAUACCCUGGUAGUCCGCACCGUAAACGAUGAUUACUCGUUGUUGGCAAUAUGACCGUCAGCGACCAAGCGAAAGCGAUAAGUAAAUCCACCUGGGGAGUACGCCGGCAACGGUUGAAACGUCAAAUGAAUUGACGGCGNGAGAGNGCGACGGCGACGACGAGGGGAGGAGG
rnacentral:rRNA from 1 species